ncrna:Pristionchus pacificus microRNA ppc-mir-2242 precursor (ppc-mir-2242-1)
AGAAGACUGACUUGCUAGUGUUCUCACUCGCUUAUUUCAUUCCGACACAAGAAAUGUGUUGGAAUGAAACGAGUGAGUCAGCAUCACCGUCUUUG